rnacentral:rRNA from 2 species
GGAUGUGAUCAUACCAGCACUAAAGCACCGGAUCCCAUCAGAACUCCAAAGUUAAGCGUGCUUGGGCGAGAGUAGUACUAGGAUGGGUGACCUCCUGGGAAGUCCUCGUGUUGCAUUCC